UACGAAGGGGGCUAGCGUUGCUCGGAAUGACUGGGCGUAAAGGGCGCGUAGGCGGAUGGCACAGUCAGAUGUGAAAUUCCCGGGCUUAACCUGGGGGCUGCAUUUGAUAUGUGUGAUCUAGAGUGAGGAAGAGGGUCGUGGAAUUCCCAGUGUAGAGGUGAAAUUCGUAGAUAUUGGGAAGAACACCGGUGGCGAAGGCGGCGACCUGGUCCUUGACUGACGCUGAGGCGCGAAAGCGUGGGGAGCAAACAGG
rnacentral:rRNA from 1 species